UGCUUAUCCUGUACUGUAUAUAGAUACUUAAAUUGUGAGUUCUGUACCUGCUUUGGUGUUAUUUGACUCGGGUGCGAGUCGAUCCUUCAUGUCUUUAGCUUUUAGUCAUCACAUCAGUAUCCGACGUGAGGCGUUGAGUUGACCUAUGAGGGUUUCUAUAGCCAACGAGCAUGCGGUUUUUGCUACUAAUGUAUUCCGGGGGAGUGUACUAGAGAUUUUUGUUGGAUUGGGUGUCUAAGCCCAUAACUAUAAUUGGUAUGUACCUGAAUUGAUAGCAGCACAGUCCUUUUAGGUUGCCCUCAAACCUAGCAACCAGAUAAGGAAAUUAUGAAAGGAGAGAUAUUAAUUUAUUAUAAGAUUAAUAAAUUAAUAUAAAUGAAUUUAUUAAUAUGUUAAAAGAUUAAUAUAUUAAUAAGAAAUCAUUUUGUUUAAUUAAUUGUUAGCCAGAAAUUAAUUAGAAUUAAUUUUGGGGUUAAAAGAAUUAAUUAUAAGGUGCAGGGACUAGUUUGCAAUUAUCUAAUAGUUGAGUGGAAGGCUCUAGAACCCCCUUGGAUGAGGGUGGACGAAAUCUUUAGGGGAAACCCUAAUAAUUUCGUCCAUAGGGGCUUGGAUAAGGCCCUUGGGUUUGCUUAGGCCCUAAGCAAAGGAUAACUAGGGUUUCCCCUAAACCCUAGAUCCCUCAGCUAUAUAAGGAGCCUCCUGGUUCAUGUUUUGGUCACUCUUUUCUUUUGAAGAAACCCUAAGGGCCGAAAUUUUGCAUACUCCCUCUCCCCUCUCUCCUCUACUUUCCUUCUUGCUAGUUUGGGUGUGAUUCCAUUAGAGGCAUUACACUUGUGGUGCUAAGCUUCCAAGAAGAUCAAGAUCAAGAUCAAGGGAAUUAUCAAUUGUUUACUAUAACAAUUGAAAGGUAUGUAAUUACUAAACCCUAGUUUGUAAAUUUCGAUUAUAGCCUCUCUCCUCUAGGGUUCUUGUUUUGCAAUUCAAAGUUGUAUGUUCAAUAGAUAAAACAUAGAUCCAAAGUAGGUUGCAUGUGAACUUAGGAAUUGUUUUCUAGUUUAUUUGUUUUACCUAAAACCCAUCAGUGGUAUCAGAGCCUUUGUUUGUUUUAAAUUGAAUUGUUAUAAUUGUUGAAUUGCAAAUUAGGGUUUAUAGCUAUUAAACCCUAAAGGCCAUUUUUUCGAUUUUUAGGGUUGUGGAUCAAAGGGUUUUUGAAAACCCUAGCCUCCAAAGAACCCUAAUCGAAAUUAGGGUUAGGGUUUUGAAAACCCUAGCCUCCUCCCUUGAAAAUUUCGAAAUAUGCUAUAAAGAUUAGGGUUUCUUUGUUUUGGAUAAUAGUUGCCUUAUUGGAUAAUUGAGAAAAAUAAGGAAAUUAUCCUAUCCCCAUAUUUUCGAAAUCUAGAAGGGAUAUGGAUUAGGAUUAAAUUAAUUGUUUAAUUUAAUUAGAUAAUCCUUACAAGAUUUAAUAAAUUAAUUAAAAGUUAAUUAAUAGAUAAAUAUUAAAUCUAAUUAAUUGGUUUAUUUAAAUUUAAAAUUUAAUAGUUUAAAUUUCAAAAAUUUAUAUAAACCCUUGGAGUUUUAAAAUGUUUUAAAACACACCUUAUAUAUAUUAUAAUUAAAAGUUAAAUAUUAUAUAUGUAUAAGAAUAUGGUCAGUCAAAUCGCUAGUAUGCCUCAUUCACGAAGCUAGUCUAUAAGGGGGGUAUAAGGAAACUGCCUAUAAAAUGGUAGUUGAAUGGGUGUCCACUCUCACCCACCGCUUCCUUGAUUAGUGGAGGGUCGUUAGCAGAACGGAUUUGAUAGGACAACUACUUCCCAUUAAAAGUAUAAUGCUAUUAAAGAAAGUACUAGAACACUAUUUUUCAAAAUCCCAACUCUAGUUACUUUAGGAAAAAUGUGAAAAGUAUGCUAAUCCAUGAAAUUGCACAUUAUGCUUUAUUGGUCGUUAGUGGAGCGUGUGUGGUUAACCGGCACACUAAAAGGCACUAAUAAAGAGUAGUAAUGGGUAUCUUAUAAUUAUCAUUUUGAUGGAGCGUGUGUGGUUUACCGGCACAUCAAUAGUUAAUGAUAAAGACAAUAAGGUUACCAAGCACAUUUGCAUGGUUAUUCACAUCUAGUUUGUGAUCCUCGGUAUCCCAGUCACAAAUAGUAGAGCAUAAUCCGAGAUUAAAACAUGCCAUUAAAUAGUUUUAAUGUAUCUCAAAAGAAUUAGGAAUUUCACUUCGUUUAUUUUGUCUAAUGGUGGAAUUGGUGAAUCGUCAUUCACCUACCUUUAUGAGAUUUGAACUUGGAUCUCGGCAUCCCAUUUCUAAGUUGUAAAUCGUCAUAGUUGGGUCCUAACCUUGAUAUGAUAUCUUUGGGUUAUUAUAUUGAGGUGUCUUGGAAUCUAACUAAAACUAUCUUUCUUUUCAGAUGUCUACUCCUGGAAACACUUCUGCUUCAUCAUCCUCCAGCCACAACUUCUCUCUACUAAACAUCUGCUCCAAAGUCGUUAUGGAUGGCUCCAACUAUAACGAUUGGAUGCGUAACAUCAAGAUGGCGCUUAGAUUCGAGGACAAAGAGUAUGUCCUUGAAAAGGAGCUCAAAGAACUUGAUGAGUCAAAAGCCACUCCCGAAGAGUAUGCUGCCUACAAGAAACACUAUGAUGAUGCUACCAAAGUGGCAUGCAUCAUGGUUGCAACCAUGUCCCCAGAAUUGCAGAGGUACUAUGAGGACUACUGGCCUUUUGAGAUGAACAAGGACCUUAUGGAAAAGUACCAUAAGCGAGCUCGUCAAGAAAAGUUUGAGGUAGUCAAGUCACUCAUGGCUUGCAAGAUGAAAGAGGGGGAAUCGGUUGUAUCUCAUGUGCAAAGAAUGCAACGCUACAUAGAGCGUUUGGUCAAGCUCAACAUUCACUUCGAUGAGGAAUUGGCCAUUGACAUGGUCUUGAACUCGUUGCCUGAUUGUUAUGGUCAGUUUAUCUUAACUUACCAUUUGAACAACACUGAGCAGACUUUGGCCCAAUUGCACAACUUGUUGCAGACAGCUGAGGCAGGGAUGAAGGGUAAAAGUAUACCCUCCACACCUGCAAGUGCCCCUGUCUUGGCCAUUGGACAGGGAAAGGGGAAGAAGAGGAAAGGUCCUCCCAAGCAAAACUGGAAGAGCAAGGCUCAAGCUGUGUCAUCUAGUAAUGGCCCGAAGGCUAAGCCCAAUGGUUCCACUCCCCAUGUUUCUGAUCCAAAAGAGGCCAUUUGCUUUUACUGCAAUCAAAAGGGGCAUUGGAAGAGAUCUUGCCCACAAUAUCUGCAAGAUAUCAAGGAUGGCAAAGUGAAGCCAUCCUCGGCAGGUAUUUACACUAUUUCUGCUAAUAACUCAUUAUCUUCUCGUUCAUGGGUCCUUGAUACAGGAUGUGGUUUUCAUAUCUGUUCUGAUUUGCAGGGGCUAAAGGAAAGUGAGGAGAUAGAGCAUGGGAGGAUAAACUUGAUCAUGGGGAACAGAAAGUCUUCACCAGUGACCAAGAUCGGAGUUUAUCAACUAUUGCUUAGUAAUGAUGUUAGAUUAGAUUUAAUAAAUUGUUGCUAUUCGUCUGAGAUGACGAGAAACAUUAUUUCAUUUCAUGCAUUGUUCAGACAAGGUUUUAAAUAUUCUUUUAAUGAUUUGAAUGGUUCAAUUUCUGUUUAUAAGAAUGGUGUUUUUGUGUUUGAAGCUUUACCUUGUGAUGGUGUGUAUGAAACAGUGACUUGUGUUGAUAGCUUAGGAAAUAGUGUACUUAAUAUUGACUUGUCUAAUAGUGUAGACAAGGCAUGCUUGUGGCAUUGUCGUCUUGGACACAUUAACAAGAAACGCAUAGCCCAACUCCAAAAGGAUGGAGUGUUGGAAUCAUUUGACCUAAAAUCAGAUGAUAUGUGUGAAUCUUGUCUUUUGGGAAAGAUGACAAAAUCACCAUUCACAGGGUCUUGUGAAAGAGGUGAAGGUCUGUUGGAUCUCAUACACACAGAUGUGUGUGGGCCCUUCAGAUCAACCACAAGGGAUGCUAAUCGAUUCUAUGUGACUUUCACUGACGAUUAUAGCAGAUAUGGUUACAUCUACUUGAUCAAACAUAAGUCAGAAACCUUUGAAAAGUUCAAAGAGUUUAAGCAUGAAGUCGAAAAUCAAUUGGGCAGAAAGAUCAAGAUACUUAGAUCCGAUAGAGGCGGGGAGUAUCUUAGUACCGAGUUCAACGACUAUCUGAAAGAAUGUGGGAUAGUCUCACAAUUGACUCCUCCUAGGACACCACAGUUAAAUGGUGUAGCUGAGAGGCGUAAUCGAACCUUGUUAGACAUGGUUCGUUCUAUGAUGAGUCGUGCCUCGCUUCCUAUUCACUUCUGGGGGUAUGCCUUAGAGACAGCCGCCCACAUCCUCAAUCUUGUCCCUACAAAGAAGGUUGCCAAAACACCUCACGAAAUGUGGACAGGGAAAGUUCCCUCGUUAGCACAUAUUAAAGUCUGGGGUUGUGAAGCUUUCGUAAGACGAGAGACUCACGACAAGCUAGCAGCUAGAAGUGAGAAAUGUGUUUUCAUUGGUUACCCAAAGCAGUCUUUUGGAUAUUUGUUCUACAGACCUAGUGAAAACGUGGUGUUUGUAGCUCGAAGAGGAGUCUUUCUGGAAAGAGAGCUCAUAUUCAAAGAGGACAGUGGGAGUACCAUUGACCUUGAAGAGAUUCAAGAGUCAACCAAUGAAGGAACCUUAUAUGACACUAGCACUCAACCAGAGGAAACAGUUCCUGUUGAACCGGUUGAUAAAUCAUUACCUCUUCGAAGAUCCACUAGGGUGAGUGUGCCACCUGAGUUGUAUGGUUUUCAUAUUACUUCAGAUGGUGACACAUUCAUAAGUGACAGAACACUGGUAAACUUAGAUGAACCAGUCACUUAUAAGGAAGCAAUGGCAGGCCCAGAGGCUUCCAAGUGGAAAGAGGCAAUGGACAGCGAGAUUAAGUCCAUGUAUGACAACCAAGUUUGGAAUUUGGUUGAUAGUGCACCAGGUCGGAAGACAGUUGGGUGCAAAUGGAUCUUCAAGAAGAAGACAGACAUGGAUGGGAAUGUGCAUACGUUCAAGGCUCGACUGGUUGCAAAAGGUUUCACUCAAACCCCAGGGGUUGACUAUGAUGAGACUUUUUCGCCGGUGGCUAAGAUUAAAUCUAUUAGGAUAUUGCUCGCCAUAGCUGCCUUUCAUGACUAUGAAAUCUGGCAGAUGGAUGUCAAGACUGCCUUCCUUAACGGGAAGUUGGCUGAGGAUGUUUACAUGAGUCAGCCAGAGGGUUUUGUUGAUGCAAAGUUUCCCAAUAGAGUAUGCAAGCUUGAGAAAUCCAUUUAUGGAUUGAAACAAGCAUCUCGCAGCUGGAAUCUUUGCUUCCAUGAGAAAGUCAAAGAGUUUGGUUUCUCUAGAAGUGAAGAUGAGUUUUGUGUGUAUAUCAAGGCUAGUGGGAGUAUAGUAACUUUUCUGGUGUUAUAUGUCGAUGACAUAUUACUCAUUGGUAACGACGUUCCAACCUUGAAUGAAGUUAAGUCUUGGCUUGGAAAGUGUUUUGCCAUGAAAGACCUAGGAGAAGCCGCCUAUAUUCUUGGGAUUAGAAUAUUGAGAGAUAGAAAGAAGAGACUAAUUGGACUUAGUCAGAGCACAUACUUGGAUAAGGUACUAAAGAGGUUUAGUAUGGAAAAUUCCAAGAAGGGAGAGCUACCUAUCCAGAGCAAUACCAAAUUGAGUAAGACUCAAUGCCCGAGUACAGAUGAGGAAAUAGAUGACAUGAGUCGUGUACCUUAUGCUUCCGCUGUCGGAUCGAUCAUGUACGCUAUGACAUGUACUCGCCCUGAUGUGGCAUUUGCUUUGAGCAUGGUCAGUCGCUAUCAGGGAAACCCAGGUAGAGCUCAUUGGAUAGCCGUGAAGAAUAUACUCAAGUAUUUGCGAAGAACGAAGGACUGGGUCCUUGUACUUGGUGGCAAUGAUACUUUGAGAGUAGAUGGUUACAGUGAUGCCAGCUUUCAGACGGAUAGAGAUAACUUCCGUUCUCAGUCAGGCUGGGUAUUCUUAUUAAAUGGAGGAGCAGUUACUUGGAAGAGUUCCAAGCAAGAUACGGUGGCUGAUUCUACUUGUGAAUCAGAGUACAUAGCAGCAAGUGAAGCGUCGAAAGAAGCAGCUUGGUUGAGGAACUUCAUCGGGGAUCUCGGAGUUGUUCCAACCAUCCAGGAGCCUAUGGAACUGUUCUGCGAUAAUGAAGGAGCGGUUGCCUUGACAAAGGAACCGAGAGAUCAUGGUAAAACCAGACAUAUCGACAGAAAGUACCAUUUCAUCAGACAUAGAGUAGAAGAAGGCCAUCUUAUAGUGAAGAGGGUGUCAUCUGAAGAUAACCCAGCAGAUCCCCUCACAAAGGGUCUGAGUAGGGCUAAGCAUAUUCAGCAUGCUCGGAGCAUAGGACUGAAAGAUGAUAUUAGUUUUAGUAGUUAGAUUAGUUUUCUGAAACUUGUAACAAAGUAAAUGUAAUUGACUUUUGGUGAUUAAAUAAUAAAGUAUUAUUUAUAAGUUUGGGUUCUACCUUUUGUCAAUUGUUUAUUAUUGUGUUUCAUUUUUGCAUGUUUUACUUCCCGAAUAAUAAGAUUAUUCAAACUCCACAGUCGCUCGUACUUUUGGAAGUAAGUAGUGAAUCAAGACUGUCAUGAACUGGAUUGUAGAUUGUCUAAGGAUAGACAUGGCAAUGUAUUUGCUGCAACGUUCAUGAGUACUCAGAAAUUGAGAUUUGAGUAUUGGAUAAACCCUCGCUCAGAGUAUUACUUCAUGGAAUUCAUCACGAGUAAUACUGAGACGAUAAUAUCUUAUAAUCUUGAAACAGAGAUAUAUGAGUUGUGAUUUGCAAGUCGGCUAUGCAUUGGUGAUACGAAAACGCAUCAGUAACUUGGUGUUAUAAAACGUAUUAUCAUGUAUGGUUUGAUGAGUAAAAGAUACAAGCAUAUGAGUCAAUGUUUAUUCGUUCCUUUUGCCCUAACGGGAAAAGCGAUAUCUGUGGGCCCCUCGAUGAUUUGGUGUUGACUUGUGUGCUGGGCCCAGCCAGGACUAAAUUGAUGUGUUCAAUUAGAAGUCCUACAUCAUCACAAAUCAGGAAUCGGGAAACAUAGAUUCUGGACAAAGAGGUUGAUUGCAUUCCAUGUCUUUUGUCUAGGGAUAUCUAGCAGAACGAAGGAUUAUAUGAUCACUUAUCUUAGGACACGUAACUGACUGGGUCAGAGUUCGGCAGCAGCUUUUUGGAAGCUACAAUUUGCUGGUCAAAUUUAGAAGGCAUACUAGCAAUUAUAGUUACAGACUUAUCCAAGUGGGAGACUGUUGGAUUAGGUGUCUAAGCCCAUAACUAUAAUUGGUAUGUACUUGAAUUGAUAGCAGCACAGUCCUUUUGGGUUGCCCUCAAACCUAGCAACCAGACAAGGAAAUUAUGAAAGGAGAGAUAUUAAUUUAUUAUAAGAUUAAUAAAUUAAUAUAAAUGAAUUUAUUAAUAUGUUAAAAGAUUAAUAUAUUAAUAAGAAAUCAUUUUGUUUAAUUAAUUGUUAGCCAGAAAUUAAUUAGAAUUAAUUUUGGGGUUAAAAGAAUUGAUUAUAAGGUGCAGGGACUAGUUUGCAAUUAUCUAAUAGUUGAGUGGAAGGCUCUAGAACCCCCUUGGAUAAGGGUGGACGAAAUCUUUAGGGGAAACCCUAAUAAUUUCGUC
rnacentral:lncRNA from 1 species